rnacentral:lncRNA from 1 species
GGGUAUUUUCUGUGGGCCGAGUAGUCUUCUGGGACAGUCUCCCAGCUUGGCCUCAGAGCCAUGUGUUAGUGAACAGCAGUGGCUGGUUUCCAAUAACCUGCAUUUAUCAAAGCAGGCUGGCAGAAGCACUGGCCCUAGCUUGCCAGUUUCUGACCCACCUAGUCAUGGGCAGCCCCACCCCCAGUGAGACCAACAAUAGAGGAAAAUACAAAGAUACAAUAAUGCAUGCAUAUUCG